AGCAGCCGCGGUAAUUCCAGCUCCAAUAGCGUAUAUUAAAGUUGUUGCAGUUAAAAAGCUUGUAGUUGAAUUUCGGGAUCAACAUGUCGGUCAUGCCUUUGGUAUGUACUGACAUCAUUGAUUUCUCCCUUCUGGCGAACCAUGAUGUCAUUAAUUUGGUGUCAUGGGGAAUCAGGACUGUUACUUUGAAAAAAUUAGAGUGUUUAAAGCAGGCAUACGCUUGAAUACAUUAGCAUGGAAUAAUGAAAUAGGACGUUUGAUCCUAUUUUGUUGGUUUCUAGGAUUGACGUAAUGAUUAAUAGGGAUAGUUGGG
rnacentral:rRNA from 1 species